AUGGUGAAACAACAGAAGAUGCAGUCUUUUUUUAAAAGAAAAGGGGAUGAGGGAAUAGUUAAAUCUCCAUUAGCUCCAGAUGCUCUAACAUUGGUGCCAUAUAUGGAUGGAAGACAUGCUGAAGAUGCACAAGAAGGUCAAAUGGAAGAUGACAAUGUGCAGGAAAAUCAGAUGCAAGAUGAUGAUGUGCCGGAUGUAGAACAAAGAGCAAACGAACAUGUCACUUUUCGAGGCAUUGAGUUGUUGGAGCGAGAUCCUGCACUAUGUCCACAAAUUUGGCAGUACCCCCCAAACCAAAGAGAUGAAGUACGAAAAGCUUACUUGAGGCUGGGUCCCAAUCAACCUAAACAAAAGAAAUAUAAAGCUAUCUGA
rnacentral:rRNA from 1 species